rnacentral:lncRNA from 8 species
GACAGAGUUUAACAAUACGUCUGGCUACCCCUUCUCACUCUUUCACUCUUUCACUCACGCUUCCUCUCUUUCCAUCUCUCUUUCUCUAGCGCUCUCUUUCACUCACACAAAUUCUCCAACUCCCUCCACUCUCCCCAUUCUCUAUACUCCACUAUUAUUUUAAUUCUCCCCCUUCACUCACUCUUUCAUUUUUCCCUCCCUCCCUCCCUCUGUCUCUCUCUCUGUCUGUCUGUCUGUCUGUCUGUCUGUCUGUCUGUCUGUCUGUCUGUCUGUCUGUCUGUCUGUCUGUCUGUCUGUCUGUCUGUCUGUCUGUCUGUCUGUCUGUCUGUCUGUCUGUCUGUCUGUCUGUCUGUCUGUCUGUCUGUCUGUCUGUCUGUCUGUCUGUCUGUCUGUCUGUCUGUCUGUCUGUCUCUCUCUCUCUCUCUCUCUCUCUCUCUGUCUCUCUCACACACACACUCCCUCUCUGUUUUGUCACUAAGCUUUUCAGUGACCAACACUGGACUCAUGCCCACUCACUUGUCCCCCCUUUGCAUUCUUCCUUUCUUUCUCUCUUGGCUCUCUCUCUCACUCAAUCACUCAUUCCCUCUCCAUCUGUACUUUACUGAGAUCUAAACAGCUACUUUGAAUGAUAGAGGGGACCCAGUGUGUAACGCACACACUCUGAGCUAAUUUAGAGAGCUGUAACAGGUUGGAUCAGGAGCCCCAGUCUCUCUCUCUAUCUCUCUGUCUGUCCGCUCAUCUGUGGUUGUGUAUGGGAGAGGAGGGCUAACAUGGACUUGGUGGGUCUCUCUCUGCCUCUAUUACUUGUGUUUUGGCAAUGGACAACUACCACAGGCGCCGCCGUGACGUACUGGACGUACACGGGUAAGAACAUCUCUCUCAAUAACCAAAAGGCCUUCAAGUUGAUUUAUAACUAUGUUAUUAUAACUCAUAAAGUAAGUGUAGAUCCCAGUAGGAAUAUUAUCCCUGCCACUAAACACUACACAAAUACAACAGUCUCUCUCUGUCUGUCAUUUAUACAUCAGCUCACCCACUGUACAUUCUCUCUCUCUCUCGGCAUGGGAGAAACAGAAAGAAGGAGUGGGGAAUGGAGAGAGGGAUGGAAAUGGGGGUGCAGAACAGGGAAAGCGAGCUAAAGAGGGGGAGGAAAACGAGAGAAGUGGCAGGUGCACGAGGAGGAUGAAGAGUUGGAAAGACGUGUUUCAGCAGCAUUGUUACGCCACACAAUAACCCUGUGUGUUAAUUGUACUGUCCAGGCUGAGGCACACUGCCUGCCUAUCAUAUGGACAAUGACACUGUAGACCUGAAUGGCCCUUAGUGAAUGCAUACAGAGUGGUAGUGUGUACACUAAGUUCACACAGAGCUUUACCAUUCACAUAAAGUACAGAACCGUACAGUAUGUCCUCUAACCAGAGCCUGUGUCCAGGGCUAGCUGGCAUCACCACACGGUGAUGUUUUUCUCUGUGUACUAUAGGACGCGAUAUACUGUUAAAGUAAAUGGUGAUGUGGGAGUUGUGUUGUGUUGGCGUGUGUGAGGGGAUCUGUGGCAUUCUGUGGCUGGCUCGCUCAUGUAUGGCAUUUUGUGUGUCUGUGUGUGUGUGUGAGAGAGAGUGUGUGUGUAUUGCAUUGUUCCCAUCCACAUUGGGGACAGUGGCAGCGCUAUGAGAGGUAGAGCAGGUCAGAAUGACGGAAUAUUCUCUCCGUUGUAACCAUGGGGACCUCCAUGACAACCAACUGUGGAGCUGCAGGACAAGUUUUUCUCCUUUUUUUGGGGUGGUGGGCAAGGAGGGGGAUAAGGGACGGCUUAAAGGUACAGGCCGGGGGAGUGUGUGUGUGUGUGUGUGUGUGUGUGUGUGUGUGUGUGUGUGUGUGUGUGUGUGUGUGUGUGUGUGUGUGUGUGUGUAUUUACAGCUGUGUGUGUGUGUCUGUCAUAAAAAGGAGCCUCUCUAUCUGACUGUCUGGUGUCACAGGUGGUCCUCAGCCACGUCACCCGUAAUACAAGUCAUUAUUCGACGUCCACCUA